rnacentral:rRNA from 1 species
CACGUAGGGGGCGAGCGUUGUCCGGAUUUAUUGGGCGUAAAGAGCUCGUAGGCGGCUCAGUAAGUCGGAUGUGAAAACUCCAGGCUCAACUUGGAGACGCCAUUCGAUACUGCGAUGACUUGAGUCCGGUAGGGGAGUGUGGAAUUCCUGGUGUAGCGGUGAAAUGCGCAGAUAUCAGGAGGAACACCAGUGGCGAAGGCGACACGCUGGGCCGUACCUGACACUGAUGCGCGACAGCAUGGGGAGCAAACAGG